GCGUUGCUCGGAAUCACUGGGCGUAAAGCGCACGUAGGCGGACUCUUAAGUCGGGGGUGAAAUCCUGGAGCUCAACUCCAGAACUGCCUUCGAUACUGGGAGUCUUGAGUUCGGGAGAGGUGAGUGGAACUGCGAGUGUAGAGGUGAAAUUCGUAGAUAUUCGCAAGAACACCAGUGGCGAAGGCGGCUCACUGGCCCGAUACUGACGCUGAGGUGCGAAAGCGUG
rnacentral:rRNA from 1 species